UCACUUCCUCUCCAAACAUAAGCAACAGCCAGCAUCUCUGCCAAGUCUCGGCAAUGGGCCUGCCGGUCCGGAGCUCGGUUCCCGGGGACAGCGCCUGGUUCCCUGGCUGCUGGAGCUCCACCAGCCAGCCUCACCCAGAUGGGGAGUCAUGUCCACACAGGAGCCACUUCCAAGCGGCAGAACCAGGCUCCGAGGCCACCUCGCUUUCUGCAGGAAAUCCAAGGGAACCGAGCGCCUGCUAAGCAGCACAGGGAUAAAAACUGCUUUCCACAAACCAAGAGUCGGAGGGUUUUUGAAGUUAAGGAGGCAAAACAUGAGUGCAAAACAAGCAAGUACAGGUCCCACCGCCUGGCAACCGUGACAGGGUGCCCGGUGGGUUUCAGGUAUGUGACCACUCCGGUAAGUCAGGGGACAGCCAAGCGGGUUCGAAAGUGUUCCGGGGCAAUCGCUUCUCCGGAGCCAAGACGCUGAAUCAGAGGGGAGAAGGAAUGAAAACAGCUAUAAAAUCAUCUGAGUGAUUUACAUACAUGACAUCAUUUAAUCCUCACAACCCCAAUCUACAGGUAAGAAAACUGACACUGUAUGGAUCUGGCCAAAGUCCCAAAGCUAGCAGGUGGCAGAGGCUGCAUCCAAAGCACAGUCCUUCACCAUGAGAUUUUACUGUGAGAUUCACAUUAAUAUAUAGGUCCCUUCAUAAAUAUCAGUAUUUACA